ACCUGGGCAGCUGCAGCACCUCUGUUCUCCCAUGCACCCCUCUGCGUCUCUGUAAGUGGCCGAGCCGGGACUGGGACCUGGGCAGCUGCAGCACCUGUGUUCUCCCAUGCACCCCUCUGCGUCUCUGUAAGUGGCCGAGCCGGGACUGGGACCUGGGCAGCUGCAGCACCUGAGUUCUCCCACGCACCCCUCUGCUUCUCUGAUGAGAUGGAACGGAACAGCGAGACACCAGAGAGGAAAGAGCCUCAGGGACAACUCAGUACUUCUCUCUUCCCGCACACUUGAAGCAUCCAAGGCCGGGCAGGGUUUGUCUUGGUUCUCAAAGCUUGGAAGGAUCCAUCAGGAAGUCUCUUCAGCAGCACAGAUCACCUCCCUGUAGGAUCCUGAGGUCAGAUUUUCCAAUCUCCCUGUUCAUCGCGUGCACAGCCUAGGCUGGUGCUCAACCAGCCGUGGAGAUUUUACCUGGGUUCCUUGCAUACACUGGCGUCUCCAGAUUUUUCACCUUGUCUGCUCCUAUCCAGGAUCAGGUAACAAUUCUGGACUUAGUAUCUUUUCAGGAAAAACUAGAAAUUAGAUGGACUCCAACUUGAAUCCAGGCCCACUGACUCCAACAUCCAUAACGUUUAACAAAAUGUACAGCUGAUAGUCAGAUACUCUGAUCAGAGACGGAAUGAGCCCAGCACUGGGGAAAUGUGGAUUCUGGUUCCAACUGUCAUCAUCCAGAGUCGCCUGGUCCCUCCCUUUCACCGGGUCUGUUUCUUCAUCGGCAAAACGAAGAGGCUCUGUGGAGCAUCUCUAAGUUGUCUCCCAUUCCUUUAUCACUCGAUUGGUAUGAAGAAAAGAAUUGCAAUGGAACCACAUUGAACAGAAAUUACUCCAAUGCUGUCUAUUUUAGAAAUUGUGUUUUCUGUUUGGCUUAUGGCAGAAGGAAGGCAAGUAGGAACAGCCAAGCAAGUAACAGAACUAAUCCAGGCGAGUUUUCUCACCCAGCAUAACUCCCACAAGAAAAUAAACUCCGCCUGGCACCGUGCCCCCACCCCCGGCCCGCCCCUGCCCGCAGGAAUUCGGGGUGAGUCUCAGAGGAAGCGGCGGCACAGAGCGCCUGGCACACGCUCCUGUCUUUGAGCUUGAAGACAGGAGGAGGCUCCAUCAGGAGGGUGGGAGUUGGUCCCCAACAGAUAAAGGAGGGUUUCAGAGGCGCUGAACCUGCUCCGCAGGCAUCGUGCCUUUCCCAGAGGAGCUCAUACUCGUUAGUCAUAAAUAAGUCCUGUGAAAUGCCUCCCACGUCCCAUGUGAAUAUUUCAAACAUCAUGCUUAGCCAAGAAAUAAAAAAGAACAAAAACAAAACAGAGAUUUACCUUUUAAGCUUUGAUAUUUGUUGUUUGUUUAUUACCAGAUUUAAUCUUCUGAAAAAAAAUUGGUAUUACAUCUUUAAAAUCGUUCCUCUCUGACAUUUCCCGGUGAGGCACAAAUAUUCAGGCAAAGAGUGGGGCUUUGGGGGUCCCGUCUAAUCUUUAUACUCCUUAUUCUAGCUACUGGAGGUCUUCCCAUUCUGGAGACCAGGCAAAGUGCUAUGAGAGAAACCGGUGGUGGGGAAGCAGGUUUCCCUAGAGUCAGGUGUCAGGCGCUGGUCCUACACUUUAGUGGGAAGAUGAAUAAGAUACAGUUUAACUAGUGGUUACCAGUGGGGAGAGAAUGGGGGGUGGGCAAGACAGGGGAAGGGGAUUAAGAGAUUCAAGCCACUAGGUAUAAAAUAGAUAAGAUACAGUGAUGUAAUGCACAGCACAGGGAAUAUAGCCAAUAUUUUAUAAUAACUUUAAAUGGAGUAUAGUCUAAUAACUAUCAAGUCACUGUGUUAUAUGUCUGAAACUAAUGUAACAUUGUAGAUCAAUUCUAUUUCAAUUUUAAAAAGACACAGCUUGACUCCGGGAACCCUCGGUUUCAGUCAGAGAGACAGUCAGGUCAGGUGGAGGAAUCAAAGGAAACAUUUGUGAUGUGAGCUUGGAGAACAGAGUUUGGCUUAGGCAUACAGGAGAGCACUGAAGGCUAUCUGAGAGCAGAAGAGAAUUCAGAAACACCUCAGAGAGCAGAUGACCUUAGAACUGGGUUUUUAGGGAGGUGUUUCACAAGAGAAGGAGUGGGAGAGAAGAAUCUUGGUGAGAGAAGUUAAGGCAUGUGCAAGGCAGGGAGGUGAAAGAACAGGGGCAGGCCAAGUGGUGCAGUACCAGCUUGGAAGUUUGAGCAUCAGCCCGAAGGUGAGGGGACUUGUGUUUUAUUGGGGUGGGUGGUUAGCUUUUUAUUCUCAAUGCAAUAUGAACUUGGUUUUUGGAUUAUCAUUCUGGCAGAAAUAGAAAGGAUGGAUUAAAGAGAGAAGAGGCUAGAGGAGUUUCUUAUUUUUAUUAUUUCAAAUUUUUGGCUACAUCCUGAGUCAUGUGGGACCUUAGUUCUCUAAUCAGGGAUCGAACUCUCACUCCCUGAAUUGGAAGGCAGAAUCUUAACCACUGGACCUCUAGAGAAGUUCCCAGGAUAGAGACAUUUAAACCAGACAUAUAGAGGCAAGAGAGGGGACCCAUGAGAGAGAUGGAGGAGGCGGAAUUGGUAGGACUUGAUGGCCCGCUACACAGACCCAGGAAGCAACACAGUCGUGGGGCUUGGGAACCCGACUUGAUCAUGAUAGGAGAGGGUGAUGAGCAUUGCCUGCCCUUGAUGGAUGGGCUAACAAACACUAACUGAGCUAUUUGUUGGUAUUAUGGUUGGCGUGAGGGAUGAGCCAGAAGGUGGAUAAAGCAGCGGUAAAGCUUCUUUCCUCUCUAUAGGAGCUUGUCCCCUGCCUCACUGUUCAAUGAGUGGUCUGAGGUCCAUGGACCAGCAGCAUCGGCAUCACCUGGCACCUUGUGCAGCUUCCUGAGCCCCCCAGGGUUACUAAGUCAGAUUCUGCUUUCUAAUAAGGUCCCCAGGUCAGCUACACGCAGUCAGUUACUUUAAAGUGUGAGAAGCACUGGCCAAGGGUAACUCUUUGAAAUUUUUCCAGUUGGCAGGAGGAUCGUAGAGGGAGUAACCACAGAGAAACAGCAUAAGCAGGAAACGAAAGGGCCAAAGGUUCAAAUUGUCAAUCACAGAUUGUGGAGCCAGACAUCGGUGUUUCUCUGUCCGGGAGUUUAUACCGAAUGGGAACUAUGCCUAAUUACUAUCUUGCUCUCUGAUCUGUCUUCCACUUCAUAUUUCUACUCUUACUCUUUACAUAUUUGAUUUUGAUUCUGCGUCCAUGCUCAGUUGUAUCUGACUCUGUGCGACCCCAUGGACUGUAGCCCACACCAAGCUCCUCUCUCCCUGGAAUUUUCCAGGCAAGAAUACGGGAGCGGGCUGCCAUUUCCUACCCCCAAGGAUCUUCCCGACUCAGAGAUCAAACCCUUGUCUUUUGUGUCUCCUGCAUUUAAUGGUGGAUUCUUUACCACUGUGCCACCUGGGAUAAUCCUUAAUGUAUAUACGACACUUAAAGGUACUUAAAAGGUUGUAAAAUGAGCAAAGCUAUUUUGGGAACAAUUAAGACAACAAAAUAAACAAAAAGUUAACAAAUUUGUUUAUGUAUCUCUGGCAUCCUUAGCAACUCAUUAUUUCUGGGUUAUAAGGAGAUGGUUGAGUGUGAUUUAAUGAAGGCUAAGCUAAUAUUGUCCAACUUCUAGAUCAGAAAAGAGACUCAGAAAGUCAGGGUUACUUGGUACCAGGGCUCUGUUGGAAGCCAGGCAGCUUCAGGCAAGGAGCAAGAGUCUAAGUCAUUGUGACAUCUCCAUUACGCCUCAGAAACUGUUCAUUGCUCCAGACAGGAGCUUUAGUGGUUGUGGCUCUUGUCUUUUCAGCCUCUCAUUCAUUCAGUUAGGAUGGAUUUACUGGCAUGAAAAUUUGAUAUGGAUCUAGAACUCUAUGAACAAAUAAUAAUAACAUUUGAUGGAGGUCAUAAAGAUGACUCAGGCCCAUAAAAGAAAAGGGUUCUGCAAAACACCAAAGGCACAGCAAGAUAAAAAGCAGAAUAUGCUGCCUUUUCACAAGCUUAAAAUGCCAUUCACCUCUAGAAACAGGCUUAAUCUAAGCUUUGACAUGCACCAUCAAAUGCAAGAUUUCCAAAGUCUGAUGAUGCAUUAGUUGCACAAAGAGAAUGAGAGCAGGGAGACCACGUCCAGUUGCCCCUGUGAUGACUGGAAUGACCGUGUGUUGGAGCAGAGAAGGGACAGAAGAAUGCUGCCCUUCAGAAGCACUUGCAGUGAUGGAGUCUAGACAAAUCACAGAUGAAUUUAGUGGCAAUGUGAAAUUGCUUUUCAAGUACAUA